CCACGGGCGGCAGCAGUGGGGAAUAUUGGACAAUGGGCGAAAGCCUGAUCCAGCCAUGCCGCGUGUGUGAAGAAGGCCUUCGGGUUGUAAAGCACUUUCAGUGGGGAAGAAAGCCUUGGGGCUAAUACCCUCGAGGAAGGACAUCACCCACAGAAGAAGCACCGGCUAACUCCGUGCCAGCAGCCGCGGUAAUACGGAGGGUGCGAGCGUUAAUCGGAAUUACUGGGCGUAAAGCGCGCGUAGGCGGUCUGAUAAGCCGGUUGUGAAAGCCCCGGGCUCAACCUGGGAACGGCAUCCGGAACUGUCAGGCUAGAGUGCAGGAGAGGAAGGUAGAAUUCCCGGUGUAGCGGUGAAAUGCGUAGAGAUCGGGAGGAAUACCAGUGGCGAAGGCGGCCUUCUGGACUGACACUGACGCUGAGGUGCGAAAGCGUGGGUAGCAAACAGGAUUAGAUACCCGAGUAGUC
rnacentral:rRNA from 1 species